rnacentral:rRNA from 1 species
CUCAGGGAUGAACGCUGGCGGCGUGCUUAACACAUGCAAGUCGAACGAAGAUGCCGGAGUGCUUGCACUUUGGCAGACUGAGUGGCGGACGGGUGAGUAACGCGUGGGUAACCUGCCUUAUACAGGGGGAUAACAGUUGGAAACGACUGCUAAUACCGCAUAAGCGCACGGUAUCGCAUGAUACAGUGUGAAAAACUCCGGUGGUAUAAGAUGGACCCGCGUCUGAUUAGCUAGUUGGUGAGGUAACGGCCCACCAAGGCGACGAUCAGUAGCCGGCCUGAGAGGGUGAACGGCCACAUUGGGACUGAGACACGGCCCAAACUCCUACGGGAGGCAGCAGUGGGGAAUAUUGCACAAUGGGGGAAACCCUGAUGCAGCGACGCCGCGUGAGUGAUGAAGUAUUUCGGUAUGUAAAACUCUAUCAGCAGGGAAGAUAAUGACGGUACCUGACUAAGAAGCACCGGCUAAAUACGUG